ensembl:snoRNA
UUGCACAGUGAACACCCAAGUGUGCUUUAUAGUUCCGAAUUUGGCUUUGACUCUGUGCUAGAGCAAUGUCUGUUAUUUUACUCUGCAUUGAAAGGAGCAUUUAUCCUUUCAGAUGUAUUCAGAAAGCCAGCACAUUU